rnacentral:rRNA from 1 species
AUACGUAGGUGACAAGCGUUAUCCGGAUUUACUGGGCGUAAAGGGCGUGUAGGCGGUCUUGCAAGUCAGAAGUGAAAUUCCUGAGCUCAACUCGGGCGCUGCUUCUGAAACUGCAGGACUUGAGUGCUGGAGGGGAUAGCGGAAUUCCUAGUGGAGCGGUAAAAUGCGCAGAUAUUAGGAAGAACACCGGUGGCGAAGGCGGCUAUCUGGGCAGAAACUGACGCUGAGGCUCGAAAGCGUGGGGAGAAAACAGGAUUAGAUACCCGGGUAGUCCACGCCGUAAACGAUGAAUACUAGGUGUAGGGGGUAUCGACUCCCUCUGUGCCGCAGUUAACACAAUAAGUAUUCCGCCUGGGGAGUACGGCCGCAAGGUUGAAACUCAAAUGAAUUGACGGGG